rnacentral:rRNA from 1 species
UACGUAGGGGGCAAGCGUUGUCCGGAAUUAUUGGGCGUAAAGAGCGCGUAGGCGGUCCGAUAAGUCGGCUGUGAAAGUCAGGGGCUCAACCCUUGGAAGCCGGCCGAUACUGUCGGACUAGAGUCCGGAAGAGGCGAGUGGAAUCCCGGUGUAGCGGUGAAAUGCGCAGAUAUCGGGAGGAACACCGAAGGCGAAGGCAGCUCGCUGGGCGGUAACUGACGCUGAGGCG